rnacentral:rRNA from 1 species
GACGAACGCUGGCGGCGUGCUUAACACAUGCAAGUCGAAUGGAAAGGCCUGCUUUCCCUUGUGGAUUGCGGGUACUCGAGUGGCGAACGGGUGAGUAACACGUGAGUGAUCUGCCCCCAACUUGGGUAUAAGCCUGGGAAACUGGGUCUAAUUCCCGAUAGGACUGCAGGGUGGUGCCUGUGGUGGAAAACGAUUUUCUAGUGGUUGGGGAUGAGCUCGCGGCCUAUCAGCUUGUUGGUGGGGUAAUGGCCUACCAAGGCGGCGACGGGUAGCCGGCCUGAGAGGGUGGACGGCCACAUUGGGACUGAGAUACGGCCCAGACUCCUACGGGAGGCAGCAGUGGGGAAUAUUGCACAAUGGGCGGAAGCCUGAUGCAGCGACGCCGCGUGGGGGAUGACGGCCUUCGGGUUGUAAACUCCUUUCGACCGCGAGGAAGCCACCUGGUUGGAAGGGUGGUGACGGUAGUGGUAGAAGAAGCACCGGCUAACUACGUG